CUUCAUUUUAAGCAUCAAACUAUCAAGAGUAAUUGAUAAAAAAAUUAUACAAUUUAAUGUUCGUAAUACCAUAAGAUUUGGCCAAAGUGGUGACUAACAAACAUCAUUAAUCGAACAUUAAUUCCAUAAACUUCACAAAAAAGUAUGAGACAGAGCAUUCUUUUAAGCUAAUAAUGUGUAUACUGAAUAAUACAACACUGUGAAAUGAAAGUAGAGAAAAGAAAGUAACUGAAGCUAUACACGAAAAUUUAUGCCUUCAAGGUUUGACCAAAUUGCCAACUAUUAGGGGUAACUAUGGUUCUGUCACAUGUUAAAGAUGGCCUUACUGGAUCCCAUCUAUAAUUUUCAGAUUAGUAAACCAAUUAUUAAUAUUUUACGUACCAUUUUUGUAUUCUUUCAACAGCAAAUCCUCCUCUAUUUACCCUUUUUCCAACUAUUUGAAGUUAUUAAAAAGAAAAUGAAGAACCUAAAAACAAAUUAAUACAAUUAAUUAUUCAUGCACAUAUGGUCUGAUUUCACGUUUCAACAAAAGAGACCCAAUAUUCCACCAUUUAAAUUAAUUAAAUUGUGUUUUAACAACAUAAUCCAAUGAAGAUAGUCAAAAGGUGUGACGCGAAGGCAAUGAGUGGCCAAUAAUUUUAUAGCCAAAUCUUUAAUACUGUACAAGUAAUAAAGAUGAGAGUUUCAAAUGUGAUAUGACCAAACAUCAACAAGGUUUGAAACCCGUGCACCAAUUGAAGAUAUUGAACAAAGACUUCCAAAUUAAUCUUUAUUAAAACAUGAAACUUUAAUUGUAUUCUUAAUAAUUAAGGAUUAAUAAGCGAAAAAUGUUAAUCUUUUACAAAGGAAAAACAAGAACUCUUUAACUUUGGCUCUAAUACCACUUGUAAGUAAUUUAACCCUAAUAUAAAGAUCUUGGAAUUUCAUGAUUUUCACAAAUAAAUUUAAUUGAUCAAGAAAUAUACCUUAAUCCAUGAUAGUUAAUUGAAUACUUAGACAUACAAAAUAAGAGAAACAAUAAAACCAAGAAACAGUUCUCUCUCUUUUCCCCCUCUGUAAUUGAACGUAUAUCUUUUAAUUUGAUGGAUUCCAUUCACGUUUUCUCUCUUUUCUUCAAUAAGCUAAUAGAAUUUUAGUAAAAAUAAACCACUUAAAUUAAUUUAUUAACAAUAUUACUUGGGCCAUAUUAAUUGGUCUCACAGUCCUUGCUGCUAGUGAGGCUCGGUGUAACCAAGUUUGCGAGCAUAGAGAACAAAGCAACCUACCUCAGACAAAGAAGUGAGCGUUUAUUGAUGAAGAAGCAGUAGUCAAUGGCCAAGUAGCUUGGACUGAAAAUCUUCGAAGGUAAAAUAAUUGUCACGUUUUGCAAAGGAGAAUGCGGUGAUAAAUGAAGCGAAGGAUGGGUUCAGAUUAGCCAGGAUGAAUGACGAAAGAUAAAAAUCAUCCAAUGGUUUCCCAACUGUAGCUAACUAGUUGGCCAUGACCGGGCUAGCACUCGGGAAGGGGGCACAACUACCCGUGCUGGACUCCAUUAGAACUUCAAUAGCCACCGGACACCAGUUGUAGAAGGGAUGAGCGGCGAUGGAAGAAAGGUGAGGACUGAGGAAGAUGACAGGCUGUUGGGUUCAAUUUUUUUAGUAGUUU
rnacentral:lncRNA from 1 species